GGGCAACGUGCGCCGCGGCGACGGCAGCGGAGCGCCGCCAUACGACGACGCGGCCAGCGGCGCUGGAGGAGGCACCGACGUAGUACGACGCCAUGGGAAAGCGAGGGAAGCGAAGCCGAGCGCGCCAUGACGGGCGACGCCAGCGAGGCGAGGCGAGACAAGGCGAGAAAGGAACGGAAAAUUAUCACCGUCGGCGCUGUCAUCAAUAUGGAGGACACCGUGCGACGAUGCCGCCGUGCUGUUGCGCCGCGUGCCGUCAGGAACCGAGGAAUAGUCUGGCACGGCCCGAGACCGUCCGCCCGUUCGAAUAUCGUGGAAACUUACCGAACGCCGACGUAGGGUACACGACUGUGAAUGCUAGCCAAGCCGAUGAGUCGAUACCAAGCCACCAAAUAUACACGUAAACCCACGAUCGUCGCGUGAGGGCGUUGUAUAAGAGCAAAUAUGGCCGAUCGAACUACGAAGGUUCAAAUGCUGCGCGUUGGCAGCUGCGCACUGGCACGUCACGCGUCACGCUCGCGUGUUUAUAUGCCGCUUGCUCGAUCGUCGUUUCGGCUCGUCCAGGCAUCUUCCGGACGACGCGACGCUAACCUUCCGUCAACAUUCCAGAUGUCCCGAACUCUUGAACUGCAAUUAUUGCAAUUUCAUUCGAACAAAUUUGCAUAAAUGCGCGAUGUAAAUGAGAAAAUCGAUCCGUCGAGUGCGAGGGAUAGUAGUGUCACCGCGAUGCUUUUAUUGAAGACGUAAUCGUUAUUUAUUUUUUUUAUUUUUUUUUUAUAUAAUUGAUUUAAUUUUUUUUUUUUUUUAGAUAUUUUUAAUACGAAGGUACGUCUUCUAAGUAGGCUUUUGUUGCAUCCGGUUUCUCUACACGCGUAACUGUACGCAAGUCGAUAUGGCAGCCAAUCAACUUUCCGCUUUUUCCGGAAUGGCAGAUAUGUAGUAAAAGGCGAUUGGCCAUCGCAUUCGCUUCUUAUUGUAAAAGAUUGAUUGGUUGAUUUUUCUACGCGUUCGCAUUGUGCGAGCCUGUCUUUUCGAGGACGAACUUUAAAAUUGAUUUAAUCAACAGGAAUUCAAGCGAAACACAGACUACCAUCAAUUCGCGUACUUGGUCGCAAAUUCUUUUCUAUUAUUCUAAAUUUGUCAUCAGUAGAUUGCCUGAGAUUAACGUCAAGCUUCAUAUGAACGCAAUUGAUGCCAAUUUUGUUGUAAAUGUUAUUGUUAUUAUUGAAUAUAAUUACAAUGGAAAAUAAAUAAAAUGACAGAAGUCUUUGAGAUUAAA